UACGUAGGUGGCAAGCGUUGUCCGGAUUCAUUGGGCGUAAAGGGUGCGUAGGCGGCGCGGUAAGUCGGGUGUGAAAUCUCGGGGCUUAACUCCGAAACUGCAUUCGAUACUGCCGUGCUUGAGGACUGGAGAGGAGACUGGAAUUUACGGUGUAGCGGUGAAAUGCGUAGAUAUCGUAAGGAAGACCAGUGGCGAAGGCGGGUCACUGGGUCUCUUCUGACGCUGAGGCACGAAAGCUAGGGUAGCGAACGGG
rnacentral:rRNA from 1 species